rnacentral:lncRNA from 1 species
UAUCGUAGACCAAAAGAGACCCAAAGAUGAAAUUAACUAGAAGUACAUGUGGUACCAAAGACUAGGCCAUAUUGGAGAAGAUAGGAUAAACAGACUGAAAAAAGAUAGGAUCUUUGGCUCUCUUAACUCAGAGUUGUAUCUGUUCAGUUCUGACCAUGCAACAGAAAUUGAUUUUUAAAAUUUUAAAAUCAUACAAAUCAAUAGCUUCAUCAAAUAAAACUAUCGAGCC